UACACGUAGUACAAAAAUGCUAAAUGCAAUCGCAGUCCUGUUUAUUCCUUGCGUUGCAUAUUAAAGAAGCUUUGUUCGAAGAAAGUGUGUUAAUAUUUUUAGCUAUUGCAGGACAAUUUUGGUAUAUUUGUUAGUGUUGAAGUGCCACAAUUCCACAAGAGACUCUUCUUACACGAUGAAGAACCUGUUGAUUGUUGUAUUGCUUUUGAUUACUUGUGUCUUUAUGCCCAAACAUGGACAAGCAGUGAAUGAACGUGAUAUCACCUUCAAGAAAGUUUCUGAAAAUACCCUACGUCUAAUAUUUCAAAGAGGGAUUGCAGGAAGAAGUUUAAAUGGUGGCGUGAGAAAAACGUGAAGCAGAAGAAAUGCCACCAGGACGACGACUUCCUACAGGAAAAAACGUUGAUCCACAUUUGCAUGUUGAGACAGCUCUCACUGACAAGUUCAUUAAUGUAUCUAUUUAAAUAUAUGUCUCUUUGUGUAAGGCUUCGUUAUCUUUUGAGUCUACUUUUGAUAUUAUCCAUUUAACAUGAAUAACUACAGCAAUAUAAAACAAUUUGAUUAACUACAGGCAUAAGUAUUUUAGACAUGAAUACCAUCAUGUAUCGUUAUAUUCCAGUUUUAAUUCAUCGUGUACUCAUAUUAAACAAAUGUUCUUAA